rnacentral:snRNA from 1 species
AUAUUUUUGAUGUAUUUGUAACUAGCAUAAAUAAAAAACUCUGUUCUUAUCAGCUUAAUAUCUGAUACGGUUCUAUAUGGACCCACGAUAUUAAACCUAUUUUUGGAAGUUGGCGGAGUGCUUGAAGCCUGCUUCACCUCCGCCGCAGGUCGGCCCGGUAUUGCACUACCUCCGGGAUCGGCCCCGCUCAC